UUUAUUUAAUUCAAUUUUUGGGUGACUUAAAGUGGCAGCAGGUAGUAUAUAUUUGGCAUCAUUGGGUAAAAAUUCCAUAAUAACCUUUCAGCAUAUUGUAAUUCAUGUGUUCUGAGAGAAAACUAGACUUCUGCACCUCCUCAUGGCUCUGUUUUCAGGCUUU